UACGUAGGGUGCAAGCGUUGUCCGGAAUUACUGGGGCGUAAAGGGCGGGCAGGCGGUCGUCCAAGUCGCGUGUGAAAGCCCCCGGCUCAACUGGGGAGGGUCACUCGAUACUGAUCGACUCGAAGGCAGGAGAGGGUAGUGGGGAUUCCCGGUGUAGUGGGUGAAAAUGCGUAGAUAUCGGGAGGAACACCAGUGGCGAAGGCGACUACCUGGCCUGUUCUUGACGCUGAGGCGCGAAAGCUAGGGGAGCAAACGGGG
rnacentral:rRNA from 1 species